rnacentral:rRNA from 1 species
GAUGAACGCUGGCGGCGUGCCUAAUACAUGCAAGUCGAGCGAAUGGAUUAAGAGCUUGCUCUUACGAAGUUAGCGGCGGACGGGUGAGUAACACGUGGGUAACCUGCCCAUAAGACUGGGAUAACUCCGGGAAACCGGGGCUAAUACCGGAUAACAUUUUGAACCGCAUGGUUCGAAAUUGAAAGGCGGCUUCGGCUGUCACUUAUGGAUGGACCCGCGUCGCAUUAGCUAGUUGGUGAGGUAACGGCUCACCAAGGCAACGAUGCGCAGCCGACCUGAGAGGGUGAUCGGCCACACUGGGACUGAGACACGGCCCAGACUCCUACGGGAGGCAGCAGUAGGGAAUCUUCCGCAAUGGACGAAAGUCUGACGGAGCAACGCCGCGUGAGUGAUGAAGGCUUUCGGGUCGUAAAACUCUGUUGUUAGGGAAGAACAAGUGCUAGUUGAAUAAGCUGACACCUUGACGGUACCUAACCAGAAAGCCACGGCUAACUACGUGCCAGCCGCCGCCGUAA